CUGACUGUAGCUCAGUGGUAGUGUGUGUUCUUAGAAUACUAAAGGCCCUAGGUUGAAUUCCUAGCAAUUAGA
rnacentral:tRNA from 1 species